AAAAAAAAAGAAAAAAAGAACAGGGGUAAAUGCCGAGUCCAAAAUAAAUAUGUCAUUUUUAUUCAGGAACAGGCAUGUGAGUUCAGUUGCUGCACAUCUGUCAAGUUUAUACUGCUUCCUCCUAACAUAGCACUUGUUUACCAAUUUUGCCCUUUUGUGGAGAUAUUUGGUGUUUUGAUCCUAUUAUUCUACUUCUUUAAAGUUCUGCACAAGUUGCACACAUAUUUAAGUGGGGAAUUUCCUGAUUUCAGUCUACAGCAUUCUAUUAAGAUCCUUUCAGUUUGAUUCUUAUUCAUCUAGGAUUUUCUUAUGCCAAAUUUCGUCGGUAAUAGAUUGUCAAGAACUGUAUAUGAAGCCUGUUUCAUUUAAUAAUUAAGUGUCAUUGACAUACAUGUUUGUAAUCUCUUCUACUUUCUUUGUCUUGGCAAGAAUGCUAAACUUGAAGAUUUCUUCCUUGCCAUCCCUUUUUAUGCUAUGGAGCUUCAAGUGAAGAGCAGAUAUCCCUUAGCUUUGCCUCUUCUCACAAUGCUUCAAACAUGAAUUGCUGUAAUCUUGUACAAAUGGAGCUCCAUUUUGUUGUGAAUGUUUGUAAGGCAUACAAUGUCACAACUUACAUGUGACUUAAGAACUGUGCUUGAGGUUAUUUUGGGAGUUGGAGGGAGCUACGGGCCAGUUUUUCACCUACUCUCUUAGAGCCCUUCUUCUCCUCCUCAUUUUGCCGUGUCACUUAUGUUGGAAUGCUGAUUAUGAUUUGUUUUUUUUUAUGAUUAUGAGAGCUAAUUCUGACUGUACAGAUGGGAUUGGUUGAUUAUUAUUGAUAUUUUGAUUUAUUUAAAGUUAGUAUGUACAAGUUCAUGAUCAUUUGCGAGCUCGUCAUAAGAGGGCUGUUGUUUCCUAUGGAAGUUUGAUAUGGUGAUGUUUCAGUUUAUGUGAAAACAAAUCCCUUAGCCAGCACUAUUAUUUUCUUUAUUGCUUGAUUUGACUUAAGAUGUUAAAUGUGUUGUACCUUUAAAUGACUGGAAGCUGAAAAACCUAUCAAAUUCUUGCCUUGUGGCGAGCACCAAUGGAACCAGCUGACAUUUGCUUUUUUGGAUUCAGGGGUAAAGAUGGCAACUGUGACUGUUCCCUCUCAAUGCAUGGUCAAAAUUGCACCCAAAAAUCAGUUUGCUAGCACCAUUAUCAAGAGUCCAUCUUCACUUGGAUCAGUAAGGAGCAUCUCCAAGUCAUUUGGCUUGAAAUGCUCCCAAAAUUUCAAAGCAUCAAUGGCGGUGUACAAAAUUAAGCUGAUUGGGCCAGAAGGCGAAGAGAAUGAAUUUGAAGCCAGCGAUGAUACAUACAUCCUAGAUGCGGCUGAGAGUGCUGGAGUUGAGCUACCCUAUUCUUGCAGGGCUGGGGCUUGCUCUACUUGUGCCGGGAAGAUGGUGUCAGGUUCAGUUGAUCAAUCUGAUGGUUCCUUCCUGGAUGAGAAUCAAAUGGAGGGGGGUUAUCUGCUGACUUGUGUUUCAUACCCAACUUCAGAUUGUGUGAUUCACACUCACAAGGAGAGUGAACUUUGCUGAGUACUGUUUGUCAUAAUUCAGUAGGCCAUGACACUUAUGUAAACCUGCUAAGGAUUCAUAUGAUGGUGAAGGUUCCUUUGGACCUUUGGUACUCUUUUAAGUUCUUUUUUAUAAUCAGUCAGUUGGUGAUGUUCACCCAUCCAGUUUGUACUGGUAAUUCUGUUGCCUAAUUUUAUUAACUUUCAUGAAAUGUGAUCAUUUUCAAACUAUCAG
rnacentral:misc_RNA from 1 species